rnacentral:rRNA from 1 species
UACCAGCACCCCGAGUGGUCGGGACGAUUAUUGGGCCUAAAGCAUCCGUAGCCGGUUCUGCAAGUCCCCCGUUAAAUACAGCUGCUCAACAGAUGGGCCGCGGAGGAUACUACAGAGCUAGGAGGCAGGAGAGGCAAGCGGUACUCAGUGGGUAGGGGUAAAAUCCGUUGAUCCAUUGAAGACCACCAGUGGCGAAGGCGGCUUGCCAGAAUGCGCUCGACGGUGAGGGAUGAAAGCUGGGGGAGCAAACCGG